UAAAAGUUGUAUCCGUUCUUUUUUUUUUUUCUUUCUCCAAUAGAGAACAAGCCCAGGAGAUGUGGAACUGGGUUUACCAGCUGGAGUCUGAGAAGUUUGACUACAUGGAGCACAUAAAGCACCAGAAAUACGAGAUCAUCGUGCUGCUCAACAGAAUCCAACAUGCUCAGAAAUUGAAAUUUAAAAAGGGACAAGGCAAAGGGAAGGUGGGCGGCCGCUGGAAAUAAACGUGAAAAAAAGCAAGGCAAAAGAAGUACACUGUAGUACUUUCCUGUGUGAUCACGUUUGUUGACAUUGUGUUGUAAUAAAGUCAUGUGCAAUCUU